rnacentral:rRNA from 1 species
GACGAACGCUGGCGGCGUGCUUAACACAUGCAAGUCGAACGGAAAGGCCCUGCUUUUGUGGGGUGCUCGAGUGGCGAACGGGUGAGUAACACGUGAGUAACCUGCCCUUGACUUUGGGAUAACUUCAGGAAACUGGGGCUAAUACCGGAUAGGAGCUCCUGCUGCAUGGUGGGGGUUGGAAAGUUUCGGCGGUUGGGGAUGGACUCGCGGCUUAUCAGCUUGUUGGUGGGGUAGUGGCUUACCAAGGCUUUGACGGGUAGCCGGCCUGGGAGGGUGACCGGCCACAUUGGGACUGAGAUACGGCCCAGACGCCUACGGGAGGCAGCAGUGGGAAAUAUUGCACAAUGGGCGGAAGCCUGAUGCAGCAACGCCGCGUGCGGGAUGACGGCCUUCGGGUUGUAACCCGCUUUCGCCUGUGACGAAGCGUGAGUGACGGUAAUGGGUAAAGAAGCACCGGCUAACUACGUG